rnacentral:rRNA from 1 species
AGUGAACGCUGGCGGUAGGCCUAACACAUGCAAGUCGAACGGCAGCACAGUAAGAGCUUGCUCUUACGGGUGGCGAGUGGCGGACGUGUGAGGAAUACAUCGGAAUCUACUUUUUCGUGGGGGAUAACGUAGGGAAACUUACGCUAAUACCGCAUACGCCCUACGGGUGAAAGCAGGGGAUCUUCGGACCUUGCGCGAUUGAAUGAGCCGAUGUCGGAUUAGCUAGUUGGCGGGGUAAAGGCCCACCAAGUCGACGAUCGGUAGCUGGUCUGAGAGGAGGAUCGGCGACACUGGAGCGGGGACGCGCACAAGACGCCUGCGGGAGGCAGCAGUGGGGAAUGUUGGGCAACAGGGGGGAACAUGGUACAGCGAGAGCGCGUCGGAGAAGGCAGCGUUCGGGGUGUGAAGACCUUUUGUGGGGAGAAAAAAGCAGCAGCUUGUGACGAAGCUGUAGUGACGGUAACGAAAGAAUAAGCACCGGCUAACUACGUG